UCGUCCGUGCUGGGCAGCUUCUUCCGACGCUGGUUCUCAAGCUGGUAGCUGUGCGCCCCGCGGCUAAGCACCCCAUGGGUCAGAUCCUGCUGGGAGCUGGUGCCCGGGCUGGGGGCUGCAUGCCUUCUGGGGCGCUGCGGAGCUGCGGGGACCCCCAUGGGGGCCAAGUGUGUGUGUGUGCGCGUGCGUACAGGGCAAUAAAGUCUAUUUAUGCUAACAGC